rnacentral:tRNA from 1 species
GGAUUGUGGCUCAGUGGUAGAGUACUCGCCUAGCACUUGCGAUGCCCUGGGUUCGAUCCUCAGCACCA